rnacentral:misc_RNA from 1 species
GAUGAAGAACGUAGCGAAAUGCGAUACUUGGUGUGAAUUGCAGAAUCCCGUGAACCAUCGAGUCUUUGAACGCAAGUUGCGCCCGAAGCCAUCAGGUUGAGGGCACGUCUGCCUGGGCGUCACAUAUCGUUGCCCAAUGCCUAUUGCAGUGCAAUAGGAAUUUCUAGGGCGAAUGAUGGCUUCCCGUGAGCGUUGUUGCCUCGCGGUUGGUUGAAAAUCGAGUCCUUGGUAGGGUGUGCCAUGGUAGAUGGUGGUCGAGUUAGAACGAUACCGAUCAUGUGCAUGCUCCCCAAAAUAUGGCCUCUAUGACCCACACGCGUCUUUUGACGCUCAUGACGAGACCUCAGGUCAGGCGGGGCUACCCGCUGAAUUAAAGCAUAUCAAUAAGCGGAGGA